rnacentral:rRNA from 1 species
GACGAAGGGGGCUAGCGUUGUUCGGAAUUACUGGGCGUAAAGCGCGUGUAGGCGGUUGUCCAAGUUGGAUGUGAAAGCCUUGAGCUUAACUCAAGAAAUGCAUUCAGGACUGGAUGACUAGAGGACCGGAGAGGAUAGUGGAAUUCCCAGUGUAGUGGUGAAAUACGUAGAGAUUGGGAAGAACACCAGUGGCGAAGGCGGUUACCUGGAGCUUUGCUGACGCUGAUGCGCGAAAGCGUGGGGAGCGAUCCGG